GACGAACGCUGGCGGCGUGCUUAACACAUGCAAGUCGAACGGUAAGGCCCUUCGGGGUACACGAGUGGCGAACGGGUGAGUAACACGUGGGUGAUCUGCCCUGCACUUCGGGAUAAGCCUGGGAAACUGGGUCUAAUACCGGAUAGGACUCCGGACUGCAUGGUCUGGGGUGGAAAGCUUUUGCGGUGUGGGAUGGGCCCGCGGCCUAUCAGGUUGUUGGUGGGGUGAUGGCCUACCAAGGCGACGACGGGUAGCCGGCCUGAGAGGGUGACCGGCCACACUGGGACUGGGAUACGGCCCAGACUCCUACGGGAGGCAGCAGUGGGGAAUAUUGCACAAUGGGCGCAAGCCUGAUGCAGCGACGCCGCGUGAGGGAUGACGGCCUUCGGGUUGUAAACCUCUUUCAGCAUCGACGAAGCGAAAGUGACGGUAGGUGCAGAAGAAGGACCGGCCAACUACGUGCCAGCAGCCGCGGUAA
rnacentral:rRNA from 1 species